GAUGAACGCUGGCGGCGUGCCUAAUACAUGCAAGUCGAACGAGGUGCUUUUGUAGCAAUACGAAAGUAUCCUAGUGGCGAACGGGUGAGGAAUACAUGGGUAAUCUACCAUCGAGUGGGGAAUAACCAGCCGAAAGGUUGGCUAAUACCGCGUACGCCUCCGAAUCUUCGGGUUCGGAGGGAAAGCCACACUGUGAGUGCGGCGCUCUUUGAUGAGCUCAUGUCCUAUCAGCUUGUUGGUAGGGUAACGGCCUACCAAGGCUUUGACGGGUAGCUGGUCUGAGAGGACGAUCAGCCACACUGGCACUGCGACACGGGCCAGACUCCUACGGGAGGCAGCAGUAAGGAAUAUUGCGCAAUGGGCGAAAGCCUGACGCAGCGACGCCGCGUGGGGGAUGAAGGUCUUCGGAUUGUAAACCCCUUUCGGGUAGGGAAGAUGGAGCGAGCAAUCGUUCGGACGGUACCUCCAGAAGCAGCCA
rnacentral:rRNA from 1 species